rnacentral:rRNA from 1 species
UACGGGGGGGGCAAGCGUUGUUCGGAAUUACUGGGCGUAAAGGGCUUGUAGGUGGCCAACUAAGUCAGACGUGAAAUCCCCCGGCUUAACCUGGGAACUGCGUCUGAUACUGGAAGGCUUGAGUAUGGGAGAGGGAUGUAGAAUUCCAGGUGUAGCGGUGAAAUGCGUAGAUAUCUGGAGGAAUACCGGUGGCGAAGGCGGCAUCCUGGACCAUUACUGACGCUGAGGCGCGAAAGCUAGGGGAGCAAACGGG